rnacentral:rRNA from 1 species
UACGUAGGGGGCAAGCGUUGUCCGGAUUUACUGGGCGUAAAGAGCGUGUAGGCGGCCAUGCAGGUCCGUUGUGAAAACUGGAGGCUUAACCUCCAGACGUCGACGGAAACCGCGUGGCUAGAGUCCGGAAGAGGAGAGUGGAAUUCCUGGUGUAGCGGUGAAAUGCGCAGAUAUCAGGAAGAACACCUAUGGCGAAGGCAGCACUCUGGGACGGUACUGACGCUGAGACGCGAAAGCGUGGGGAGCGAACAGG